rnacentral:misc_RNA from 1 species
CGGACGCGACUGCGCGAGUGCGCGUGGCGGCAGGAAGACGGACUCUUAGUAGUAGUUAGUAGUAGAGAGAGCCUCGUGCCGAACAGUUGGCCUCAACCUGCUCGUGUCCGACGGUUUGACGUUGCCGCCGCCGGAACGCAAAGAGGAUACGCGCCGAGCGAUGACCAUGCCUCCUACCGAGCGCAGUUUCGGAUUCGUCGUGCACCACCAGCUGCACCAGAGCAAGGCGGAGAGUCGGAGGGCGUCCAAGCCUUUGAUGGAGAAGCGUCGCCGGGCGCGCAUCAACCACAGCCUGGCACAACUCAAGAGUCUGCUGCUGGACGGCAACAGCAAGAAGGAAUCUCAGAACCCCCGCAACGCGAAAUUGGAAAAGGCUGACAUUUUGGAAAUGACCGUACGACAUCUCCAGGGCAUUCACCAGGGUCACCAUCUGCCUCCGACGCCUGCCAUGGAAAUGCGAUUCCAGGAAGGCUUUGCUGAGUGCGCCCGUGAGGUGUCCCGCUUCGUGUGCAACUCGGACGUGGACGACUCCCUUCGGUCUCGGCUCCUGGGACACUUGGCUUCCUGCCUGGCCUCCAUGCAUCCGGCGGUUCAGGCAGCGGAGGCCAUGGACACCGAAGAGACGGGCACGGCCAGGGCCGUUUCCCACGUCUCGUCGACUUCCGCGGCGAACGCCGCUGCUACCUCCCACGUCAGCACGUCUAACGUCGCCAUGGCUGCUAGUCGCGUCAUCGUCAAGCAAGAGAUCUCAGACGGCGAUGUCACUGCUGCUGCUUCUUACACUGUCGCGACUCACCAUCCUUGCUUCACCAACGGUGACCUGCCCGGCUUGUCCGUGUCGAGUCCGCUCAACCUGGCCACCGGGAGCCGCUCCUCAGCCUAUUCUACCUCCUCUUCAUCCGGCGUCAGUGCACCGGCGAGCCCCUUCAGUGAUUCGGAGUCGACCACGUCGGCCGCCAGUGACGACAACUACGUGGCCGAGCUCGAACAGCACACGUUCGGCGUCAUACGCCGAGCCCCGGCAGCGAUGUUCGGCGACCCCGUCUGGAGGCCCUGGUAGUGAAGGACUCGCCCAGCACUAAGCGCAGUGUGCCAAAUACUUUACCAUGGGUCGUGUCUGUUACGUUUCACCUCAGUCGGUGCAUCUGGUCGGUUCUACUGUGUUUACGUAGAGAAUUCAUUGUCGCGACAGCUAUGACGCGAUGUGAUUCCUUGUGAGGCCCAUUUCAAUCCUUGAAAUGGUUCGAUGCCAUUAGGCUGGCUCAAGCAUGUCCUCAAGAUGUCAGGAGAAAGUUCAGAUGUUGUCAACGGAGAGUCAUUUGUACAAUGGUUUAGAAUAUUGCUCAAUACUAAUUUCUUCCGACUGUCAUCUAGCGGAUUGCCAUAGAGCUUCUGCCAUGUUCGACACACAGAUGUUGGUUUAAUCUGUUUUCCUCCAUGGAGCAACAAACCAUCCAUGGAGCCACAGAACAGUGUUACGCUCAGAGGUUGUGAGCGCCAAGUUGUCGAAAAUUCUCUGAGCAGACAUGUUAGGGUCUUAAACGACGGAUAUAGAACACGGAAUGACUUCAAUCCGCGACUUUUAUGUCUGCUGUCCAGCAUGAAGGACAAAAACACCGAGCUGUGGUGACUAUAGCACUGUAAAAAUGCGACUAUGCCAAAGAUAUGUGCAGACUAUGGCUAAUAUUUAGAAUGCUAAUACUGCUGUCUUUGAACACGUAGAUAACAUCCUAGACGAGAUGGUAACUUAAGGAUAUUUCUUCUUAGCAUUUACGGUAAUCAGAAAUAUUUCUUGUAUACGGUGGCCAUAAAAUCAAUGUCAGUACUGAUGCCUUUUAUACCAGGUCUUCGUCUCACAUUCCGAACGUUCUUACCAAGAUUUGAACACCCUUCGAGAUUCCUCUAAAAUUUCUAUGGCCGACUAGGCCACAGCCCAUUUCACGACAUUCCGUAGAGAUGAUGCACAGUGUAAGUGUUUCAUAUUCUCUCUCUUCAACACCUUUUUCGCUGUGGUUGGCCUUUUGUCUUUUUUCUUUGUUGUUGUUGUUUAGAAACAGCCUCUCUGCAAACCUCGAUAUAAAUUCAAUUGCCUAUUUUUUAUGCGAAAUACUUGCUUGAUCUUGCGAUCAUUCAAGCAAUGCUCUUGAUUUUCCUUCUUUUACUUUUUUUACAUUCCUUAUUUAUGCUUCAAUCAUCCUGCCAGUCGGCUUUAUGGUGCGUUUCGUGGUUUCUUGAAUGACAUGUCCCUCUUACCUGCACUAAAAUGCACAUCUGAAGUGUGUACCUAUAUAUCUUUAUUGCCAGAUGGGAGGAUGUAACAAACAGUGCAUACAGGCGAUCCUGAACAAUUGCAUGCAUUGAUAAAAUUGUCAGCUCGUUCUGGCUGAUACCCGUACAAUGUGGUCAAAAUUCCUGCAAGUGUGAUAACCACAGCAGUCCUAAAACCCAUGUUCACACGUUGGGUCGACUAUAAACCACG